rnacentral:rRNA from 1 species
GNGAGGAUAUUGGUCAAUGGGCGAGNACCUGACCAGCCAUGCCGCGUGCAGGAUGACUGCCCUAUGGGUUGUAAACUGCUUUUCUGCAGGAAGAAAGGUUUGGAUUCGUUCCGGAUUUGACGGUACUGCAGGAAUAAGCAUCGGCUAACUCCGUGCCAGCAGCCGCGGUAAUACGGAGGAUGCAAGCGUUAUCCGGAUUCAUUGGGUUUAAAGGGUGCGCAGGCUGGCCAGGAAGUCAGAGGUGAAAGCCCGGGGCUUAACUCCGGGAUUGCCUUUGAAACUUUUGGUCUUGAGUGUAGUCGAGGACGGCGGAAUGAGUUAUGUAGCGGUGAAAUGCAUAGAUAUAACUCAGAACACCGAUUGCGAAGGCAGCUGUCUAGGCUACUACUGACGCUGAGGCACGAAAGCGUGGGGAGCGAACAGGAUUAGAUACCCUGGUAGUCCACGCUGUAAACUAUGAUCACUCGCUGUUGGCGAUAUACAGUCAGCGGCUGAGCGAAAGCAUUAAGUGAUCCACCUGGGGAGUACGUCGGCAACGAUGAAACUCAAAGGAAUUGACGGGGGCCCGCACAAGCGGAGGAACAUGUGGUUUAAUUCGAUGAUACNCGAGGAACCUUACCUGGGCUUAAUGUAGAGUGCAUUCUCGAGAAAUCGGNAUUUCCUUCGGGACUCUUUACAAGGUGCUGNAUGGUUG